rnacentral:rRNA from 1 species
UACGAAGGGGGCUAGCGUUGCUCGGAAUCACUGGGCGUAAAGGGCGCGUAGGCGGCCAUUCAAGUCAGGGGUGAAAGCCUGUGGCUCAACCACAGAAUUGCCUUUGAUACUGUUUGGCUAGAGACCGGAAGAGGUAAAUGGAACUGCGAGUGUAGAGGUGAAAUUCGUAGAUAUUCGCAAGAACACCAGUGGCGAAGGCGGCUUACUGGUCCGGUUCUGACGCUGAGGAGCGAAAGCAUGGGGAGCGAACAGG